rnacentral:rRNA from 1 species
AGGAAGGUAGUGUAGUUAACACCUGCAUUAUUUGACGUUACCUACAGAAGAAGCACCGGCUAACUCCGUGCCAGCAGCCGCGGUAAUACGGAGGGUGCGAGCGUUAAUCGGAAUUACUGGGCGUAAAGCGCAUGCAGGCGGCCUGUUAAGUCAGAUGUGAAAGCCCGGGGCGUUAACCUCGGAAUUGCAUUUGAAACUGGCAGGCUAGAGUCUUGUAGAGGGGGGUAGGAAGUUUCAGGUGUAGCGGUGAAAUGCGUAGAGAUCUGAAGGAAUACCAGUGGCGAAGGCGGCCCCCUGGACAAAGACUGACGCUCAGAUGCGAAAGCGUGGGGAGCAAACAGGAUUAGAUACCCUGGUAG